GGAAGGCACCCAGGGGCAGGCUCCAGUCUGGGAGUGCCUACUGGGUGUUUUCCAUGCCACCAACCCAGGAUGUGAGUGCAUACCAACGCCACAGGAAUGGUGGCACCCUGAACCUCCUGGAGACCUUAGCUGUCAUUUGUCACCUUUCAAGUUCUCACAUAGAUUUCAGGUGUGAUUUUUUUCCUUGGUCGGUGCUUUUCCUGAUAUUUGGCUACUCAUCCUGAUUUUGGGAGUUCUUCACAGCAACCCAAGUGGGAACUAGAGCUUGCAGAAAAACAACUAGGGAAGGAAGAGAAAGGCACCACAGGAAGAGCAAAAUCAGACAGGCCACACUACGUCAGAUGGAAAUACUGCAGGAGCAAGGGAAAACCACAGAUAACGCAGUCUACAGAACCAGAGGAAAACAUCUGCAAAACAUCUGUAUCUCUAAGACUAUGGAAACUGUAUGAGACAAAUGAGCCAAUUUCUUCAAAGAAGACAGUGACAGAGAGGAGAGGAAGAGGAGAGAGAAGAGUGAUGAAAAACAGAUAAAUGGAGAGACCAGGAUUUAUAUCUAAAAGAAAUCUCGAUGGUGAGGCCUGAACAUCAAGCAACUGCAUCAUGACUGUAUUUGGACUUAUUUGAACAGCCUGUAAAAAUGAUGAGUCAGAUGUAUAGGCUGAUUUCUGCUUCAUCAUCUAGACUUCAGAACAAUGGUAAAUGGAGAAGGUGACAAAACCAACAUCCUGUCCACUGAGCAAGAUGACAUCUCCCUCACUAGGACCUAUGACUUCCCCAGCUUCGGAUGCUUGUAGCUUUCCCCUGUAGAAGAGGCCUCCGAUCUGACCCGAGAACAGACUUCUCAUCACUGACGUCCGUCACUGACGUCCAUCACUGACGUCCAUCACUGACGUCCAUCACUGACGUCCCACUACUGCAUCAGUGGGCACGUCCUUUCCUGCCACUCUUAUAGUGUAGUACUCAGGGCCUACAGCUCUGUAACACCCUUGAAAUCAAAAUGGAAGGGAAAAUACUGUGGGGGAAAGGCUUGAGUGAAGAGAUGGGACAGGGGCAUGACAGAGAGGAGGAGAUGGAUGAGAGAGAUGAAUGAAAACUACGGCUGUAUGAAAAACCCAGAAAGAAGCCUGAAAAUGGAGAAGUGUGAAGUGUUCUGAAGGCUGCCAACAAAGUGUCAAGUCAGCCAAUAGACAGAGCAGAGGCAUUAUUGUUUCAUGGGGACUUACAUUCCAUCCGAAUCUGAUUGGCUGACCUGAGCCAAGAGAGGGUAAAAGGCUGCAGUGCUGAGCGAGCUUCUUGCUAAUGGUUUCUGUGGGAGAGUUGCCACCCUUCAUCAUUGUAAUUCUAGGGGGAAUACCUCCAGCUUCAAAGACAUCAGCAUGCCUCUGCUUGCGUCGCAAAACUUAUAUCGGGAAAAGAGACCUCAGCACAAAUUUCUUUGGGCAUCUUUUAUUAACAGACUUGAGCCAACUAAGUGAUUCUUCAAAAGAUUUUCAAAUUUCCAUGAAGGCAAAUAAAAUUAUUAAUCAUAAAAUAUUCAUCACGAUUUUUGCCUAUAUUUUAGGGCAAAUGUGUAACAGGAAUGUUGUGCCAGGGCGGUGAUCUGGUAGUACUGGAUUCAGAGAGCCCUGAUACAUGGACUACAUAGCAAAGCAGCAGAGGAAUGAACAGAGGCAAGAUGAAGCCAUUCAAUAUAGGAGUUUCCAAGGAAACAGGAUCUCACUGCCCGCUAGGGCAGGUAUGUAGGCAGUCAUUGAACAUGGAGUCAUCAUAAACCCUUGGUGAACUGGACUCUUGCUUUUAGGGCAGCUUUUUUUUUUUUCCUUGGGAUCUUGAAGGGUAAGAAUCACUGGGUUGAAUUAUUUGUCCUUCAUGCUGUUUUUGCAAAUGAAAUCCAUAUAAUGCAGUACUUUUUGGAAGGUUUGUGUGCCGAAAUCGAUGGUCAUUCCCAUGGUGCUAAGGUCUUCUAGAGAACAAGCUUGAAAACUUUGAUGGUCAAGAAGGAAGUAAGAAGCCAAGGAUGGGGCAUCUUAGCUGACUCAGAGCUGUGAGGCACCCCCAGCCCCCAGUUUAAUUUCUUUUUCUCUCUUUCUCAUGUUCCAUGUGCUUGGAUGCAAAGGUCCAGAAACUUUUUAUCUGGACAUUGUUUCUCUCAGAAAAGGCCUGAGUGGUAGGAUAAAAAGGGGAACUCUUUCAGCUGUUCAAAAUCCCUGCCCUUCUAUUUGGGGUCCAUUCUGGUGGGGUUACUUUCCCUCUACUUUGGAAGGGUUAGAAAAGAAGUCUCCCAGAAACCUUUGCUUCACCCAUACUUGGUUCAGCCUAGCUGCUUGGGGACUAGUGAGGAACUGAGACCUCCAUGAAGGAGAGAAAGGAGACAAGAAAAGUGACUGCCGAGGUGGCUUCAGAAAUGUUGGCAUCCUUACUACACCAAAAAUCCAGUCCCUUCCCGUCGUCAUGACUACCGCAGGGGAAUACAGACUGGCCAGUCGGACAUCGCUGUUCACGUCCUGUCUCCUAAGCCUUUGCUACUCACAAGCAGAGCAUGGAGGACAGGCAGAUGGGUGGGGCAAGGCAAAGGAUGCGAUUGCAAUGAAUGCAUUAAGGAUGGGGGAUGGGGGAGGAUUGAAGCCUCUGGUGCUGGGCUGGAGUUCUUGGGGUCAUGAUAUCACAAAAGUGAUAGAGGAGAAGAAACAACCAUAGAGAGGCUCUGCUGAGGGAUGUGGUGGCAGCAGAGGGCCAGCGAGAGCCUGGUGGCUGCUGCGGUCAGCACAUCAAUCAGUAUUUCUGGACUUUUCACUGACAAGCCCACCCAGGGGUUCCACUUCACUUAUUGCCAUUGAGAGGGGCAAUGCCAUCGAGAGGGGCAUUGACUCUUCUUGUCUCAGGGGAUCGCGGGCCAGUGACAGAGCAGGUGCAAGCCCCAGGCCCCUCCCUCCACAAAGUCAGCAGGAGGAAGAUAAAGCAUAAAGACUAGCGAAGACCGACGCAGGCAAAUCACGGCCAGAUCAAAGUUUUCACGUUCAGUCAGGCACAAGUGCUACGGAGAUAUGGAAGUCAAGGAACUGAGUUUAGAAAGAAGAAGUGGCUCUUCACU